UCCGAUGUACCAGGCCCAGACAAGGAAAGGAUUGACAGAUUGAUAGCUCUUUCUCAAUUCUGUGGGUGGUGGUGCAUGGCCGUUCUUAGUUGGUGGAGCGAUUUGUCUGGUCAAUUCCGAUAACGAACGAGACUCCGGCAUGCUAACUAGUUACACGGCCCCGUGCGGUCGGCGUCAACUUCUUAGAGGGACAAGUGGCGUUCAGCCACAUGAGAUUGAGC